rnacentral:tRNA from 1 species
GCCAGCAUGUUGUAGUGGUUUGAGCAUUGGACUAGGACUCUGGAGACCAGGGUUCGAUUCCCAGCUUGGCC